UAGGGAAUCUUCCACAAUGGACGAAAGUCUGAUGGAGCAACGCCGCGUGAGUGAUGAAGGGUUUCGGCUCGUAAAACUCUGUUGUUGGAGAAGAACAGGUGAUAGAGUAACUGUUAUCAUCUUGACGGUAUCCAACCAGAAAGCCACGGCUAACUACGUGCCAGCAGCCGCGGUAAUACGUAGGUGGCAAGCGUUGUCCGGAUUUAUUGGGCGUAAAGCGAGCGCAGGCGGUUUUUUAGGUCUGAUGUGAAAAGCCUUCGGCUUAACCGGAGAAGGGCAUCGGAAACCGGGAGACUUGAGUGCAGAAGAGGACAGUGGAACUCCAUGUGUAGCGGUGAAAUGCGUAGAUAUAUGGAAGAACACCAGUGGCGAAGGCGGCUGCCUGGUCUGUAACUGACGCUGAGGCUCGAAAAGCAUGGGUAGCGAACAGGAUUAGAUACCCUGGUAGUCCAUGCCGUAAACGAUGAGUGCUAAGUGUUG
rnacentral:rRNA from 1 species